AGGAGAGAACAAAGCCGGGGAUACCAAGGAAGAGUGCAGACAUUUGAAAGGAAGUCUGAAUUCUAGAGACGCUGCCAUGUACAGCGGCAGCUGAGAUUGCCUUUUGGAAACUUUCAAGGACAGUAGACAACUUUCCAACUAAAAUAGCUUGAUAACUUGAUGUAAAUGGGACAACUGUGAAAUGGAUGAGUUAAGUCAUUUUUGAGAUGUCAACUAAACGUAAAGAUGGAGCAAGAGAACGGUACGGCUCACUUAAACUUAUUUUGACGAAGUAUUAUUUUUCUUGUACUCAGAGGGCAGCUGUGGAAGCAAUUCAUUAAAAUGAUUCAACCUGAAA